rnacentral:tRNA from 1 species
GCCGGGGUGGCGGAACUGGCAGACGCAGGGGACUCAAAAUCCCCCGGGCCUCGCGCCCAUGGGGGUUCGACUCCCCCCCUCGGCACCA